UACGGGGGGGGCAAGCGUUGUUCGGAAUUACUGGGCGUAAAGGGCUCGUAGGCGGCGCCGUAAGUCAGGGGUGAAAUCCCGGAGCUCAACUCCGGAACUGCCUUUGAAACUGCGGUGCUAGAAUCCUGGAGAGGCGAGUGGAAUUCCGAGUGUAGAGGUGAAAUUCGUAGAUAUUCGGAAGAACACCAGUGGCGAAGGCGACUCGCUGGACAGGUAUUGACGCUGAGGUGCGAAAGCGUGGGGAGCAAACAGG
rnacentral:rRNA from 1 species